CCGCUGUGAAAAUAGAAGUGUUAGUUCACCGUACUGUUUGAUUGAACUUCAGUAUGGGCAAAACGAGUGAUUUAAGCGAUUUUGAGCGUGGUAUGAUCGUCGGUGCUAGACGCGCUGGUGCCACUGUCUCAGAAACGGCUGCUUUACUGGGUUUUUCACGCACAACAGUGUCUAGGGUUUAUAGAGAAUGGUGCAACAACCAAAAAACAUCCAGUCAGCGGCAGUCCUGUGGGCGAAAACAGCUUGUUGAUGAGAGAGGUCGAAGGAGAAUGGAAAGAAUCGUGCAAGCUAACAGCCAGGCCACUUGCAAGCAAAUAAUGGCGCAGUACAACAGUGGUGUACAGACAGGCAUUUCGGAACGCACAACUCGUCGGUCCUUGUCACGGAUGGGCUAUUACAGCAGACCACCCCGGGUCGUCUCACUAUCAUCUGAAAACAAGAAACAGCUCGAGGAGGACUCUGUCUGUCUGACUAGGGAGGAGACGGAAAUUAGUCUAAUCCAAUAGGAGGAAUUGCUGUUACCACCCAGAAGACCAAGCACUUUCAAGAGUUGAAAGUUGUAUUCAAUCUAAAGUUGUCAGUCAUGUAAUUGGUUUAAAUAUCUGCAGCUGUAGGCCAAAUAAAAAGGACAAUGAUGUUUGUUUGUUAUAGCAUGAAUAAAAAACUUCACUGGAAGUUGUUAUUUUAUAUUUUUAAUCAAGUAAAACCAAAUUGAACUCGAAUAUUGAUGUUGUGUGGAAGACUGUUAUAAUCAGUAUUGUUGAAUUUGGAUUCUUCCCUACCAUUUAAUCUCACGGUUGUUUUGAUAAAAAUAGGAGAUUUUCGCAUUCUUAACAUUCUUCUUCAUAUGUUAUUGAAUAGAUUCAGCAAAACAAGUUUUCCUUUGUAGAGAGUUUUGCUGAUGGGAUUGUAGUGAUUCUUUCACCUGGAUCAUUUCAAUAUUAGGCCUACAGGUUGUUAACCAAAAAGUAUGUUUCAUCUAAAUCAAAUAAGUUGUUUUAUGCUUUUACCACCCCAUAUGAUCUGUAAAGUAUGCUUGUUAUUACAGAAGUUGAAAAUAAUUUCACUCUUAAACUUAACCUGUAGAUAAUGUGAACAUGUAUACCUGUAUGUACUGUAUAUUCAGUUGCUAUAACUGUGAGUGGCACACAUCCUGUUUUAUUGGGUAAGCUAAGUCUGUUUAUGUUGCAUUUUAACUAAAGGUAGCCUAAAACACUUUUAGUUGCAUCUCCUAAAAUAUCCAUGGAAUGACGUGAGAACUUAAUGUUUCAUUAUAGUUUAUAUUUAGUGAUUUUUAUGCUUAAGGUUAAUACAUGACCUUUUUGAAGGAGCAUGUCAAGUUGAGCACGAGUUGACAAAACAAAGCAUCAAGGACUCCAUGUAUAGCAUGAACAAUACAGUGAAAUAAUUUAUGCUGUCUUAAAAUUUUUAAUAUGUCAAUUAUUUGUAUGAUGUUCAUAAUAAUUAAAUGCAUUUUUGGCAG